UGCACCCAAGAGAUGGUCGAGGAGCUGGUGGAUGGUUUCCAGUUCACCCUCUCCCUGGAGAGAACACAAGUGCACCAGUCCAUCAAUGACCAGGGCUGCUCUGAGUGUGAGGAUGAGUUCACUGUGAAUUUAAAUGAGGCCUGCAGGAUGCGUGCCCUCCAGGCAGGCAUGAUGGAGAAGCUGACAGAGUCCAUGGCACCAGCUUUCCUGAGUCCUGUCCUCCAUCGUACAUCCCAAGUGGU